rnacentral:rRNA from 1 species
CCUACGGGAGGCAGCAGUGAGGAAUAUUGGUCAAUGGGAGAGAUCCUGAACCAGCCAAGCCGCGUGAGGGAAGACGGCCCUGUGGGUUGUAAACCUCUUUUGGCGGAGAACAAAACCCGGGACGUGUCCCGGACUGCGUGUAUCCGAUAAAAAAGCACCGGCUAACUCCGUGCCAGCAGCCGCGGGAAUACGGAAGAUGCGAGCGUUAUCCGGAUUUAUUGGGUUUAAAGGGUGCGUAGGCGGUCCGUUAAGUCAGCGGUAAACUUGCG